rnacentral:rRNA from 1 species
GACAGAGGGUGCAAACGUUGUUCGGAAUUACUGGGCAUAAAGCGCACGUAGGUGGUCCGCUAAGUCGCGUGUGAAAUCCCUCGGCUCAACCGAGGAAUUGCGGGCGAUACUGGCGGGCUAGAGAUCGGGAGGGGUGAGUGGAACUCCAGGUGGAGCGGUGAAAUGCGUAGAUAUCUGGAGGAACACCGAUGGCGAAGGCAGGUCUCUGGGCUGACACUGACGCUGAGGAGCGAAAGCAUGGGGAGCGAACAGG